rnacentral:rRNA from 1 species
GAUGAACGCUGGCGGCGUGCCUAAUACAUGCAAGUCGAGCGAACGGACGAGAAGCUUGCUUCUCUGAUGUUAGCGGCGGACGGGUGAGUAACACGUGGAUAACCUACCUAUAAGACUGGGAUAACUUCGGGAAACCGGGGCUAAUACCGGAUAAUAUUUUGAACCGCAUGGUUCAAAAGUGAAAGACGGUCUUGCUGUCACUUAUAGAUGGAUCCGCGCUGCAUUAGCUAGUUGGUAAGGUAACGGCUUACCAAGGCAACGAUGCAUAGCCGACCUGAGAGGGUGAUCGGCCACACUGGAACUGAGACACGGUCCAGACUCCUACGGGAGGCAGCAGUAGGGAAUCUUCCGCAAUGGGCGAAAGCCUGACGGAGCAACGCCGCGUGAGUGAUGAAGGUCUUCGGAUCGUAAAACUCUGUUAUUAGGGAAGAACAUAUGUGUAAGUAACUGUGCACAUCUUGACGGUAUCUAAUCAGAAAGCCACGGCUAACUACGUG